CACGGGGGUUGGAGGGCAAGUCUGGUGCCAGCAGCCGCGGUAAUUCCAGCUCCAAUAGCGUAUAUUAAAGUUGUUGCAGUUAAAAAGCUCGUAGUUGAAUUUCGGGAUUGGCGUGUCGGUCGUGCCUUACGGGGUAUGAACUGGCGUCGUCGAUUUCUCACCUUCUGGAGAAUCACGAUGCCCUUAAUUGGGUGUCGUGUGGAACCAGGACCUUUACCUUGAAAAAAUUAGAGUGUUUAAAGCAGGCAUUUUGCUCGAAUACAUUAGCAUGGAAUAAUAAAAUAGGACGGCUUGGUUCUAUUUUGUUGGUUUCUAGGAUCACCGUAAUGAUUAAUAGGGAUAGUUGGGGGCAUUAGUAUUCAAUUGUCAGAGGUGAAAUUCUUGGAUUUAUUGAAGACUAACUACUGCGAAAGCAUUUGCCAAGGAUGUUUUCAUUAAUCAAGAACGAAAGUUAGGGGAUCGAAGACGAUCAGAUACCGUCGUAGUC
rnacentral:rRNA from 1 species